GAUGAACGCUGGCGGCGUGCCUAAUACAUGCAAGUCGAGCGAACGGACGAGAAGCUUGCUUUUCUGAUGUUAGCGGCGGACGGGUGAGUAACACGUGGAUAACCUACCUAUAAGACUGGGAUAACUUCGGGAAACCGGAGCUGAUACCGGAUAAUAUUUUGAACCGCAUGGUUCAAAAGUGAAAGACGGUCUUGCUGUCACUUAUAGAUGGAUCCGCGCUGCAUUAGCUAGUUGGUAAGGUAACGGCUUACCAAGGCAACGAUGCAUAGCCGACCUGAGAGGGUGAUCGGCCACACUGGAACUGAGACACGGUCCAGACUCCUACGGGAGGCAGCAGUAGGGAAUCUUCCGCAAUGGGCGAAAGCCUGACGGAGCAACGCCGCGUGAGUGAUGAAGGUCUUCGGAUCGUAAAACUCUGUUAUUAGGGAAGAACAUAUGUGUAAGUAACUGUGCACAUCUUGACGGUACCUAAUCAGAAAGCCACGGCUAACUACGUG
rnacentral:rRNA from 1 species